GUGGCGUUAGUAUAGGGGUUGAGUAUGUCGUCUUUCCAAGUCGGAGGUUUAGUUUUCUAAACGCUACA
rnacentral:tRNA from 1 species